rnacentral:rRNA from 1 species
GACGAACGCUGGCGGCGUGCUUAACACAUGCAAGUCGAACGGAAAGGCCCUGCUUGCAGGGUGCUCGAGUGGCGAACGGGUGAGUAACACGUGGGUGAUCUGCCCCUUACUUUGGGAUAAGCCUGGGAAACUGGGUCUAAUACUGGAUAGGACCAUGCUGUAGGUGGUGUGGUGGAAAGAUUAGUUUCGGUAAGGGAUGAGCUCGCGGCCUAUCAGCUUGUUGGUGGGGUAAUGGCCUACCAAGGCGUCGACGGGUAGCCGGCCUGAGAGGGUGGACGGCCACAUUGGGACCGAGAUACGGCCCAGACUCCUACGGGAGGCAGCAGUGGGGAAUAUUGCACAAUGGGCGCAAGCCUGAUGCAGCGACGCCGCGUGGGGGAUGACGGCCUUCGGGUUGUAAACUCCUUCCAGCCAUGACGAAGCCCUUGUGGUGACGGUAGUGGUAGAAGAAGCACCGGCUAACUACGUGCCAGCAGCCGCGGUAAUACGUAGGGUGCGAGCGUUGUCCGGAAUUACUGGGCGUAAAGAGCUCGUAGGUGGUCUGUCGCGUCAUUUGUGAAAGCCCGGGGCUUAACUCCGGGUUGGCAGGUGAUACGGGCAUGACUGGAGUACUGUAGGGGAGACUGGAAUUCCUGGUGUAGCGGUGAAAUGCGCAGAUAUCAGGAGGAACACCGGUGGCGAAGGCGGGUCUCUGGGCAGUAACUGACGCUGAGGAGCGAAAGCAUGGGUAGCGAACAGGAUUAGAUACCCUGGUAGUCCAUGCCGUAAACGGUGGGCGCUAGGUGUGGGUUUCCUUCCACGGGAUCCGUGCCGUAGCUAACGCAUUAAGCGCCCCGCCUGGGGAGUACGGCCGCAAGGCUAAAACUCAAAGGAAUUGACGGGGGCCCGCACAAGCGGCGGAGCAUGUGGAUUAAUUCGAUGCAACGCGAAGAACCUUACCUGGGCUUGACAUGCACUGGAUGCGGCCAGAGAUGGUUGUUCCCUUUGUGGCUGGUGUGCAGGUGGUGCAUGGUUGUCGUCAGCUCGUGUCGUGAGAUGUUGGGUUAAGUCCCGCAACGAGCGCAACCCUUGUCUCGUGUUGCCAGCAUUUGGUUGGGGACUCGCGGGAGACUGCCGGGGUUAACUCGGAGGAAGGUGGGGAUGACGUCAAAUCAUCAUGCCCCUUAUGUCCAGGGCCUCACACAUGCUACAAUGGCUGGUACAGAGAGUUGCGAUACCGUGAGGUGGGGCUAAUCUCGUAAAGCCAGUCUCAGUUCGGAUUGGAGUCUGCAACUCGACUCCAUGAAGUCGGAGUCGCUAGUAAUCGCAGAUCAGCAAUGCUGCGGUGAAUACGUUCCCGGGCCU